UACGUAGGUGGCAAGCGUUGUCCGGAUUUACUGGGCGUAAAGAGCGCGCAGGCGGUCGUUCAAGUCGCGUGUGAAAGCCCCCGGCUCAACUGGGGAGGGUCACGCGAUACUGAUCGACUCGAAGGCAGGAGAGGGUAGUGGAAUUCCCGGUGUAGUGGUGAAAUGCGUAGAUAGUCGGGAGGAACACCAGUGGCGAAGGCGACUUCCUGGCCUGUUCUUGACGCUGAGGCGCGAAAGCUAGGGGAGCAAACGGGG
rnacentral:rRNA from 1 species